AAUUUCAGCUGAAAAAGUCAUGAACAUAAAAGUUACAGAGCUCAUCAAGACAUAUAACUUUUAUUUUAGUCAUUUCUUCAUCUGAUAAAGUGAUAGUAACAUUGUUCAUAAAGUUUACAUAUGUCUCUUAUAGUUUAUAAAAAUAUAUGAGACAUGUAAAUUUUGUGAAUAAUAUUACUAUCACUUUGUCGGAUUAAGAAACAACCAAAAUAAAAGUUAUAGAUCUUGAUGAGUUAUAUAACUUUGUUGUUGAUGACUUUUUCAGUUGAAAUC
rnacentral:pre_miRNA from 1 species